rnacentral:rRNA from 1 species
AUACGGAGGACGCGAGCGUUAUCCGGAUUCAUUGGGUUUAAAGGGUGCGCAGGCGGCCGUGCAAGUCAGCGGUGAAAGCCCGGGGCUCAACCCCGGAAGUGCCGUUGAUACUGCGUGGCUGGAAUGCGGUCGAGGCGGGCGGAACGUGGCGGGUAGCGGGGAAAUGGGGAGAUAUGGCACAGAACGCCGAUAGCGGAGGCAGCUCGCCAGGCCUGCAUUGACGCUCGGGCACGAAAGCGUGGGGAUCGAACAGGAUUAGAUCCCCUGGUAGUCCACGCCGUAAACGAUGGGCGCUCGUCGUCGGCGACAGACAGUCGGCGGCCAAGCGAAAGCGAUAAGCGCCCCACCUGGGGAGUACGGUCGCAAGGCUGAAACUCAAAUGAAUUGGCGGGG